rnacentral:rRNA from 1 species
GGCUCAGGAUGAACGCUGGCGGCGUGCUUAACACAUGCAAGUCGAGCGAAGCGGUUUAAAUGAGACUUCGGUGGAUUUAAAUUGACUGAGCGGCGGACGGGUGAGUAACGCGUGGAUAACCUGCCUUGUACCGGGGGAUAGCAGUUGGAAACGACUGAUAAUACCGCAUAAGCGCACAGUAUCACAUGAUACAGUGUGAAAAACUCCGGUGGUACAAGAUGGUCCCGCGUCUGAUUAGCUUGUUGGCGGGGUAAUGGCCCACCAAGGCGACGAUCAGUAGCCGACCUGAGAGGGUGACCGGCCACAUUGGGACUGAGACACGGCCCAAACUCCUACGGGAGGCAGCAGUGGGGAAUAUUGCACAAUGGAGGAAACUCUGAUGCAGCGACGCCGCGUGAGCGAUGAAGUAUUUCGGUAUGUAAAGCUCUAUCAGCAGGGAAGAUAAUGACGGUACCUGAGUAAGAAGCUCCGGCUAAAUACGUG